rnacentral:misc_RNA from 1 species
GGGAUGACGUCAAAUCAUCAUGCCGUUAUGACUGGCUACACACGUGCUACAAUGACAGAACAAAGGGCAGCGAAUCGCGAGAUCAGCCAAUCCUACUAAUCUGUCUCAGUUCGGAUCGCAGUCUGCAACUCGACUGCGUGAAGCUGGAAUCGCUAGUAAUCGCGGAUCAGCAUGCCGCGUGAAUACGUUCCCGGGCCUUGUACACACGCCGUCACACCACGAGAGUUUGUAACACCCGAAGUCGGUGAGGUAACCUUUUAGGAGCCAGCCGCCGAAGGUGGGACAGAUGAUUGGGGUGAAGUCGUAACAAGGUAGCCGUAUCGGAAGGUGCGGCUGGAUCACCUCCUUUCUAAGGAUAUUUUACGGAAUAUAAGACCUUGGGUCUUAUAAACAGAACGUUCCCUGUCUUGUUUAGUUUUGAAGGAUCAUUCCUUCGAAACGUGUUCUUUGAAAACUAGAUAACAGUAGACAUCACAUUCAAUUAGUAAGACAAGAUAUCACAUAGUGAUUCUUUUUAACGGUUAAGUUAGAAAGGGCGCACGGUGGAUGCCUUGGCACUAGGAGCCGAUGAAGGACGGGACGAACACCGAUAUGCUUCGGGGAGCUGUAAGCAAGCUUUGAUCCGGAGAUUUCCGAAUGGGGAAACCCACCACUCGUAAUGGAGUGGUAUCCAUAUCUGAAUUCAUAGGAUAUGAGAAGGCAGACCCGGGGAACUGAAACAUCUAAGUACCCGGAGGAAGAGAAAGCAAAUGCGAUUCCCUGAGUAGCGGCGAGCGAAACGGGAUUAGCCCAAACCAAGAGGCUUGCCUCUUGGGGUUGUAGGACACUCUGUACGGAGUUACAAAAGAACGAGGUAGAUGAAGAGGUCUGGAAAGGCCCGCCAUAGGAGGUAACAGCCCUGUAGUCAAAACUUCGUUCUCUCCUGAGUGGAUCCUGAGUACGGCGGAACACGUGAAAUUCCGUCGGAAUCCGGGAGGACCAUCUCCCAAGGC